rnacentral:rRNA from 1 species
UACGUAGGGUGCAAGCGUUGUCCGGAAUUAUUGGGCGUAAAGAGCUCGUAGGCGGUUUGUCGCGUCUGCUGUGAAAAUUCGGGGCUCAACUCCGAGCUUGCAGUGGGUACGGGCAGACUAGAGUGCGGUAGGGGAGACUGGAAUUCCUGGUGUAGCGGUGGAAUGCGCAGAUAUCAGGAGGAACACCGGUGGCGAAGGCGGGUCUCUGGGCCGUAACUGACGCUGAGGAGCGAAAGCGUGGGGAGCGAACAGG